GAAAAUUUGCUCUUUUACUAUUUAUCCGGUAGGUUUGUUCAAGGAGAAAGCCCAA
ensembl:snRNA U7 U7 small nuclear RNA